GCAGAAUACCCUUCUCGAUACUAUGAUUCAGCACACUACGCUCCUGAUACUAUUAAUAACUUAUCUGCUCGAUCGUAUGAUUUGGUGGGUUCCUCUCCUGGUACCCGUGGCCAGCUCGUGAACUUAACAGCUCGAGACUAUGGAUUGACGGGUCCGUCUCAUGUACAUACUAACUCAGAACCUGGGGGCAGUGGUCCAGAUCUGAGUCCAUUAGUCGCACGAUACAGAACAAGUAUACCUGCAAAUGGAAGGACUGGACAGUUAGGAUCAGCAGGAAGCCCUACACCGAUGCGCAUUGCAAGCCCGAACAGUUCCAUCCCCUAUGCCUAUAGGGAUCCGCUUAGGGCGCCUAACUACAAUGACCGGGCGGUGCCUUCCAGCAGUGGCUAUGGCGCACCGUCUCAGCACCCCCCAGCCAUUUACCACCUUUAGUCCAAUCCUAUAGUUCUUGGUAACUUACAUUCACAACCAAUGAUUCCGUUUAGACUACUGUGUUUCGAAUUCAGACCCUUCUUUCUCUGUAAUUUAGAGUAAAGCAAAACCGCAGAAAAACCUUCAUUUAUAUGCAUCAAUUUCUUUAUUUUAACAAAGGGUGGUACAAGUAAAGCAGCCAAAUUGACAUGCCCUUAACAAUUUUGACAUCACUAAAUAUUAGUUUCUACGCCCUCUAUCUUGAAAAAGGCUAUCAAUUCCCGCGGCCCUCCAUCCUUAUCGAGUACUUCUGUUUUGUACUUUCCAGUGGGAUUGGGCAAAGACUCGUCCUUGGCCGCAACAACAAGCAAAUAUAAUGUGCCUGAUUCAUAAAACGAUGUCCGAGCCGAAAUCACUGUUUCAAAUACUAACUUGUUUGUGGCAUUCUUGUUGUUCUCGGAAACGGCUCACUCUCCGAUCUCCGUCGCGUUUAAAUUGAUGCCGUCUAUAGGCUUCCAGGUACUGGGAACGUUGUUUGUUGUAGUAGCGGUUGCCAGAGAAACCAGCAGAGCAAGGAGAGCGAGAAAGAAGCAAUGGGGACGCAUUUUGUAACCCAUGAGUUCGGUUCAAGAAGCAAUGAGUCUUGGGAAAAUUGUUAUUGAUGCAAGGAUAAUCAUACAACAUAUGGUCAAAUACUUGUGGGUAUAUAUAUUAGACAAGCAUGGAUAUGGUGCACUGAAUCGGGACAGACAGGCUAGCUAGUAUAGAAAGCAAUAAUAACGACGAGAAAUUUUUCAAAAUAAUUGGUAUUCAAGCUGAUGCUUCACGUGUUAUAAUAUAUGUGAAGAGAUAAAGAAUUAAUACACUGUAUUUUAACAUUUCCAAAUAACUUCAAUUGUCUUUUAAGUCACUUUCCGUACCUAAUAUGUGUCCAAAUAGAAAUUAUGUGAAAAAAUGGCUAGAUUCAAUGCAAACCAUUAUACGAGGCUCUAAUUAUUCAGGCAAUUAAUCACAUAUAUGAACUUUGUAUAUUUGACAUCUCACAUUCAAUUUACAUGCAAGAGAUUUUGCAGUAUGCUCAGAACAUAGGCACAUAUAUACGUCGUAUGUCAUUACAGAAGUGGAGAGAAACUUGAAAGAAACACUUCUUUUCACUUGUAUAAUAAUAUAUGACGUACCGCUUCGUGUUCUGGACACAUUAAAAUAUUACUUUUUACAUACGUGGCCCUUAUCUGUGAUAUUAUUUUAUUUGGAAAGGUACAAAUUUCAAUAAAAACCAAAACCCAUCCUUCCAAUUUGUAAGAUAAACGGAAUUAGGCAGCAUUCAAUUUAUAGCUUUGCUAUAUCAAACCAUCAGCAGUUCAGCAAUAGUAAGACUGUCCUUCAUCUGUAUAUUUGGAUUUGCUUUACUGAGAACCGAAAACCUACUACGAUACGUCCUCAUUGCUUCCUCGCACUCCUUACUCUGCUUACUCUUGCGGCUGCCGCCGCGACGAGGGAAGUGAGUCCCCCGUGGAAGGAUAUUAAGGACCUCAAGGAUCCAUAUGUGAUAAGCAUUGCAGAGUGGGGGGUCUCAGAAUACAACAAGAAUGUCACAGGCACAAACAAGUUAGUGUUUCAAAAUGUGACUUGGGGGGGAAGCGCGUUUAUUUCAAACACGUUUUAUGGGCCGAUCAUAUGCGGCAAAAAAUUAGUCGUUAACUAUCCCACCAGAAGAGUAUAGACUUGGUGUAUGGGACAGAUUUCUAACCAGGCUAUUCCGGGGCUUAAGAAAAAAUGAUGGCUCUGAUGUUUAGUAUUUCAAAUUUACGGUUUAGUAUUAGGGUUUGUAAGUGUUAAAAGUAUGGACAAUGCUAGGGAGAGUAAAUUUGUAGAGAAAAUUUUGUAAAAUAAAUGACAUAGAAGUCGAUAAUUGAAUUAUGACUUAAGCGUUGAUGAACAUAUUCAUUCCUAUUGGUGACAUACUAUUUAGUUUGUAAAUUUUGUCUACAAAUUUAGUCUCCCUAGCAUUACCAUAAAAGUAUAUACACUUAUGAUUGCAAAUUUUGCCUACAAAAUUAAUCUCCUAGCACGGUGCUUGCGAAAAACAAAAAUAAGAAGUUUCCCAGAAAGUGCAAGGCAAUGCCGGAAUCAAGGUGGGUGAGAUCAAAGCUAUGAAAUAGCAUUGAAAAGGACCACAGACGUCUCAUCGUUAACAACACCCUCCCCGAACACUAGACUGUAGAGUAAAGAAUAUUGUCUUUUGAUGACUUAUCAUUCAACCUUAUCACUGCUGCAAUGGCAGCAUGGUUUAUAUACAGUUUACAUACACGCAUGCAAUAAACAACAAUAAAGGUGACAGAAACUAAAGAAAAAUAAAGAUGGCAGAAACCAUGUGAUUGUCUGGCUGGGAGUAUUCCUUCUGUCGUCCAGGUUGUACAGCUAGUUAGUGGGAGUAUUCCUUCUGUUGUCCAGGUUGUACAGCAGCUAGUGGGAUUAUUAGUGGACAGCUAGUGGGAUUAUUAGCUUCAUCAUUAUUAGCUUCAUCAUCCCCCCGCAAGCUCAUGAGCGGACGACGAACGAGCUUGGAUUUUAAGAAAUGAAAACGAUCAGCAGAUAAGCCCUUGGUGAAUAUGUCUGCAAUCUGAAAAGUAGUAGACACAUGAUAGACAUUUAAUGACUUUGCCACUACAAGCUCACGCACAAAAUGAUAAUCCACAGCAACAUGUUUUGUUCGAGCAUGGAACACGGGAUUAGAUGCCAAUGCAAUGGAGCUUGUGUUAUCACACCAAAUUAAAGCAGUCGAGGGCAUGUUAACCGGUGCUCAAUACCAUUAUUAAUUAAAAAUUGUUGAAAUUCCUUACUCAUAAAUUCACCCCCGCCAUCAGUUUGGAAAGAUUUUAUCUUAUAAACAGUAUGGAUAGAUAGAAGAUUUUCAAGAAGCAAUUUAAAUUUUUGAAAAUAAGAAAAAGCUUCAUGUUUAAAUCUCAUAGGAAAUAUCCAAGUAUAACGAGAGUAAUCAUCAAGAAAUAUUAUAAAAUACUUGGAACCCUUAACAGAGGCAAUUGGUGAAGUCCAAACAUCACAAUGAAUCAAUUGAAGAGGACAAACUGAAACUGAUGGAGACAAAGCAAAAGGUAAUUUAGUGCUUUUGCCCAAUGGGCAAGCAGAGCAAAAACUAGGGAACUAGAAUCCUUAAUAGGAAUAGAGGACAUAAUUUUUUUAAAAAUUGCAGGAGAUGGAUGACUGAAACGCUGAUGCCACAUAAAUGAAGAGGUUCGUUGUCCAAAUAAUGCCACGUUCUUGAAAGGAAACUUUUCCACACGAAACGGAUACAAUCCAUUCUCACUCUUGCCGUGGAAAAGCGUCUUCCCCGUGGAUAGAUCCUUCACAAAAAAAUCAGUAGGAGUGAAAAUGAAGUAGCAAUGAUUAUCACAACAAAAGCGAUGAACGCUCAAUAGAUUAGCAGAAGCAGAAGGACAAUGCAAAACAGAAUUUAAAGGAAAUUGAGACACAAAACCAGAACCAAUAUGCUUUAUAGACAAACCUGCACCAUUACCAACCGCGACCUGGUCUUGGCCAGUAUAUUCUGUGGAAAGGCUCAAAUUAGCUAAAUCAUUGGUGAUAUGGGACGAUGCGCCACUGUCGGUAUACCAUGUAGGGAACCGUGCAUUAACCACAGGAGAGGCAGCCAUCAUAGCAUGUGAUUGUGGAUAGCGGCCUUCGGAAAAAGGAGACUUGAAACAAUUUGCGGUAGAAUGACGAUGAUCACCACAAUAGUUACAAAUAUUAGAGGAAGAAGGAGCAUCCGCAGCAUGGUUGGGAAGAUAGGAAGAGCGACGAAGACCAGCAUUUGGUGUAGGAAGAAGUCCUCGAUUCUGAAACGAGCCACGACCGGAUCCACCAUGAAACAAACCACUGUUUGAACCACCACGACGGCCAACAAAAGGAUUACCAGCACUGCGACCUUGAAAAAAGCCACGACCUUGAAAACCACCACGACGGAAUGAGGAUGUACGACCAUUUCCUCGGUGAAGUGUGGUUCCACGACCAGGAUUGGGAGUGGAGCCAGAAGGGGCAAAGAGAGCUGUUGUGGUGUGAUCAGGACUGAAAGUAGUGCUAUAGUCGUCCAUACGGCUUUCAGCGCUCAAGAGCAAAGCAACCAUAUCGUCAAGACUCAUAGGAUUUUCUCUUGCUUGAACCGAAGUAACUAUACUUUCGAAAGCAGGACCAACACCAUUCAAAAUCAGCUCCAUAAGAUCAUCGUCAUCAACAGGUUUUCCCGCAAGAGCCAAUUGAUCAGCAAAGUUAGUUAAUUUAUCAACAUAGUCUGUGAUGGACAUGUUACCUCUUUUAGUGGACUGCAUCUGGUGCUUAAGUUGAAGAACACGGGUGCGAGAUUGAGAAGCAAAACGUGUUUUCAGAGUAUCCCAAGCAGCUUGGGAUGUGUCACAGGUUGCGACGAUGGAAAGCACAUUGGGUGUCAAAGUUGAGUUAAUCCAACUUAACAAUUGUUGGUCCUGUCGCUGCCAAGUUACGUACUCGGGAUUGAGAGUAGAAGUAUUCUCAAGAAACUUGGUUGGACAUGUUUUUGUACCAUCAACAUAGGCAACAAGAUCAUUACUUUUAAGUAAGGGAUUAAACUGGGCAAGCCACAACAUGUAAUUGGUUCGAUCAAGUUUGAUGGAAACCAGAUAGGAAAUAUUAGGAAGGGAGCUGGUAAGAAGAGAAGAAGAAGCAGCCAUGGAAGCGGAAGAAAAUUUGAGAAGAAGGGAAGGCAGAAAAAAAAAAAAAGGCAAGAAGAAAGAAAAAUAUGAGGAUCGUCAUGCUGGCGACCUUGGAAAUGUCACUGUUGGGGAUGAUGGUAGAUAACCUUUUCUUCUUUUGCUCUUUCUAACUGUUUUGUAAUUGCCUGGAACACUCUUUUAUGUUUUCACGCCUUGAUACUUACGGGCUAAUGACAGCUUAAUGUGUUUCUUAUCUCCUUGCUUCAGGAACUGCAACCUUCACUCUUAUUGACAAGCAGGUUUGUGAUUGACCUCCCCAAUUAUUAUUUGUUUAUGCUAUUAUUAAAACUUACGUAUUCAGAUAGCUCUUGAGUUUCAUUUCAUCUUUUAUAAAGGUUACAUUAUUGUUUGCAGAUACCUCUAACCGGACCACACUCUGUCAUUGGUAGGGCAGUUGUUGUCCAUGGCGACCCAAAUGACCUGGGCAAGGGUAAUCUUUAUUGUUCUCUCACUCCUCUCUCUCUUAAGUGGUUCCAUCUUAUAGUACUGAUUAGCUAGUCAGUGUGAUGGGCGCGCCUUAUCAUCAUUCAGUGGGUCACCCCACUUCACGUCUAUCUGUGACCUGCAGUGAGCACUCUUGUACGUACGGGUAGUUUUAGCCUGCUUCUGAUUCCAAUUGGUAUACAAUAGCUUCUACAUAGGUGCAAAUCAUUUGGGGAUCGGUAUUUUGGUUUUCAUCAUUGCUCUAUCUUGUGCUCCUCAUCCUUUCAAAUGAGCUACAGACUAGCGGGUGACUGUCAGUUUGUUGUUCCUCAGAGUUAUUUUCUAUUUCCUUAUAAAUUUUAGUUACCAUUUAGGUUUAAGCAUGAACAACCUUACGGCUACAUUAUUUCUCUACUCACAGUGAAUGCACUUGGAAUCCGAUAUCCAAUGUAAUCCAAUACUUGUGUUUCUGUACACAGGUGGACAUGAGCUUAGCAAAUCCACUGGAAAUGCUGGUGGCAGGGUAGCUUGUGGUAAGCUAAUUUGCUUAAUCUCAUCAAACCCAAUGUUUUUGCUAUAGAAUUAAAUGUCAUAUAAUUUUGGACCAUUCUUGUUGGAUGAUCAUGGUAAGGCGCUUUCAACAUCGAUAGAAAACGGAAUGUCUUCCCUAAAAUUACAAUAGAUGACUAUUUGCAAAAUCUUGGACCGUCUCCGUCACCAUUCCAGAUGAGGAUGGAAAACUUAAACCAAGUUGUGGUUUAUAUACACGGCCCCUGUUUUUGUGUUUGUCUAUAGGCAUCUACCUAGGUUGCGUAGUUUUUAUAAUGUUAUUGUGGAGAUCUCUGUGUUGCGUAGUUAUACUGAUUCGUGUCCGUCAACAUGCUUCUAAUUAUGUUCCGGUGUGUCUACUUUUGUGCAGGUAUUAUCGGUCUGCAAGGAUGAACUUGAGCACCAAGCGAAAGACAUGGAGUUUCAGUUAAAUGUAUGAAGUUUCUAUAAGCCUGAGAGAAAUUUAGAACUCUUUUGAAUAAGAAAAAUACAUGUCUUGUUUAGCUGACAGUGUUUGGUGUUUAAAAUUCUGUCCAAACUUCAUUGACUGGAAAUCUUGGAUGCAUAAAGUGCUUAUGAGUUUGAUCAUGUGUGUUUCUUUCGUUCUCAUUCGUUGAUCGUUAUUUCAAGGCCUGAAACUACUUCUGGAAGUGAUAAAAAAACGCUUGUUCUAAAAGCGUUCCAAUAGCAUUGUACGUCUUACAAAAGCAAAUUUCAAAUGGAUCAAGGCCUGAAAUUGCUCGUGGAAAAGCUAAAAACGCUUUAUGACAAUCAAAAGCAAUUGCGAGUCAUAAGAAAACUUGUAAAUACGUUUUAUGAGCAUAAGUGUCUUUCAUAAGCAAAUCGCAAAUGGAUUGGGGAGCAUGAAACUGCUUCUGAAAGAGCUAUAACAUUUUUUUUUGACAUCAAAAAAGAUUGUGAGUCAUAAAAGUGCUUAUAAACAAAAGUGCGUCCUACAUAAGCAAAUCGAAACUGCUUCUGAAAGAGCUAAAACAUUUUUUUUGACAACAAAAAAGAUCGUGAGUCAAAAGCACUUACAAACAAAAGUGUGUCUUCCGUAAGCAAAUCACAAACGGACACGGGGUCAAAUUUGAGUUUAUACAGAUUUGGCCCAAACAAAUAGUUUUGGGCCAAAAUUUGCUUAAUAGCAACAACACAAACUCACGUGCGAAACGAACUUACGUUAACUGGUUUCGGUUGACGCCACUCCUCCUCCACAAUUUCUAGGGUUCCAUUAUUAGUUUAGCAAAUUACAAUCGAAUCCGCUCUCCGGUUUCUACUAUAUAAUCUCGCCAAGCGAUGUCGACCACCGUCGACAAAAUCUCGGGCGACCUUCACAUGACGCCGGAGCUACGCAAAUCCUUCAACCUCCUCAAGACCCACGCCUCCAAAGUUGCCAACUUUACCCUCCAAUGGCAGGACCUCGAGGAGCACUUCCGCUCCAUCGACAAUUCCAUCCAAUCCAAGCUCGACCAACUCCAAAAACAACAAUCGGAAGAGGCCCAUGUCGCUCCGGCUCCGCAAUCGCAACCCAAAGAACCCGAAUUGAAUUUUAAACCCAAUUCCGAAGAACCCCAAUUGGGCUCCGGUGACGCCCAAUUGAGUUCGAAAGAAUCCCAAGUCACCGCCACCCUCCAAUCCUUGAAAACCCAAUUCGAUUCCGUCGAAACCCAAGUCAAAACCGACGAGCCUUUGCCGGAAAUGUCGACCUGCAAUGGCGUCCCGAUAAAUGACGGCAAGGCGUUGCUGUUGUAUGUGAACGAGCAUUUGAAAGAGAGGGGUUUGGUGCGUGACGGUGUUGCGAAUGCGCUUAAGGCUUCUGUGGAUGCUGGGAAGCUAGUGCUCGAGGCAGUGAAAUGGUUUUAUCCAUCAGAAUCGAAUAUGGGAGGUAAGGAGCUUGACGUCACUGUUACUAGGAAAAGUUGUGCGAUUUUGUUACAAGCGCUGGUGAAUGUGAAACCAGUGAUUAAACCCGAUAUCAUCAGAGAGGCAAUGAAGCUUGCAUUGGCUUGGAAGGCAAAGGUGAUAACUCAAAUGUCGAACUCUUCGGAGGUUUGGGCUUUUUUUCAGCUUCUGGAUGCUUUUGGGAUGGGUGGUGAGUUUGACAGUGAUGAGAUUUUGAAGCUUUUUAGUUGCGUAGCAGAUCAGAAUUCUGCACCGGAGUUGUUUAGGUCCCUUGGUUUCGCCGAUAAAGCCUCUGGUGAGUUUUUGGAGAGCCUUCUUUAUUGUUGUUCCUAUCUUUUUAUGAGACAUUUAAUUUAUAGAUUGCUUUCAGUGUUGAGUACUUGUAGUUUUACUCCUAUGAAUUCAAUGAUGGGUUCGGUAUGGUGGAGAUUGUGUGAUAUUUUUCUAAACAAAAGCAUACAUAGUUUCAGGGAAAUCUACUUAGUUUGAGUGCACCCUUACGGACAAAGUUAUGUAAGUAUCUGUUGAUAGUUGAUACAACGAAUGUCACCUUGUGAGGUUGCCUUUACGGUUUUAGAAGAAAUCAUGGGAAGAAGGUUAUGCUCUUGUUAUUUUAGAUGUCUUCUAUUAAGUUCUGCUAGAAAUUCUCCUGAUAUAUAUGUCUUGAAAUAGAAAAUGUUUAGUUUUUGGUUUUUGCUACCUCCUUUUUUUGUAGUCGGUUAACUCUUUUUUUUUUUUUUUUUUUUUUUUGUGACGCAGAUUUCAUCCAAAAGCUUAUAUCAGAGAAUAAGCGGGUUGAUGCUGUUAGAUUCAGUCGUGCAUUUGGACAGUUUGACAAGUUCCCCCCUGUACCCUUGCUUAAAGCACAUUUAAAGUUCAUCACGAAAGAUGCAAGGACUAGUUCCGAGAGGGGGCAAGACAGUCUUAAAGCACAGGUAUAGGUGGUGUUUCUUUUGCCUCAUCAACCGUCCUUAGACUCAGAAUGAACUUUUAUAUAGUGUUGAUCAUUAAAUCCCCUGCAGGAUGAGUCCAUAGACAAAGAAAUAGCUGCUCUAAGAGGCAUAAAACAUUGCGUUGAGAACUACAACCUUGUUGUUGAACCAGAAUAUUAUCCCAAGACCCUCGGAAAACGCAUUAGGCAGCUGAAAAGGGGGAGAAAAGAGAGGAAAGCAACUCUAAGAGCUCUUGGCCCUAAGGCUCAGCCGCAACCCCUGAGUGGAAAGAAACGUACUGCCCCAGAUCAGCCAAAUAAGCAGAACAGAAAUAAGCAUCCUCGAACAGCUCCAGCUUUAGCUGCUCAAACUGUUUCUCUCAGAGGACCAGCCACAGUACACGCUAUACAACCAUCUUAUAUUCGCCAAGAAAGCUUGUAUGACAGUCGAAGUGCAGAAUACUUGCUAUCGUCGGCUGGAAUGCCCCGACAAGCAACCACCCCGCCCAGUACUUCUUAUGGCACCAUUUCCACCUUGAACCCACUGCGAGCAUCUCAUCAUCAGCAAGGAGGCUCAUUCAUCGGUCAAGGUGCGGAAUACCCUUCUCGAUACUAUGAUUCAGCACACUACGCUCCUGAUACUAUUAAUAACUUAUGCUCGAUCAUAUGAUUUGGUGGGUUCCUCUCCUGGUACCCGUGGCCAGCUCGUGAACUUAACAGCUCGAGACUAUGGAUUGACGGGUCCGUCUCAUGUACAUACUAACCCAGAACUUGGGGGCAGUGGUCGUGUAACUUCAGAUCUGAGUCCAUUAGUCGCACGAUACAGAACAAGUAUACCUGCAAAUGGAAGGACUGGACAGUUAGGAUCAGCAGGAAGCCCUACACCGAUGCGCAUUGCAAGCCCGAACAGUUCCAUCCC
rnacentral:lncRNA from 1 species